GAUGAACGCUGGCGGCGUGCCUAAUACAUGCAAGUCGAGCGAACAGACGAGGAGUUUGCUCCUCAGACGUUAGCGGCGGACGGGUGUGUAACACGUGGGAAACCUACCUAUAAUCCGGAGAUAACUUCGGGAAACGGUAGCUUAUCCCGGAUAAUCAAUUGAACGGCGUGGUUCAGUAGAGAAAGACGGUUUUGCUGUCAGCUCUCGAUCGAUCCGCGCGGCAUUAGGAAAUUGGUAAGGUAAAGGCUUUCCAAGGCAACGAUGCGUAACCGAGCGGAGAGGGUGAGCGGGCCCACGGGAAUGGAGACACGGUCCAGACUCCUACGAGAGGCAGCACUAGGGAAUCUUCCGGCAUGGGCGAAAGCCUGACGGAGCAACGCCGCGUGAUUGAUGAAGGUCUUCGGAUCGUAGAACGCUGUUAGUAGGGAAGAACAAAUGUGUAAGUAACUAGGCACGUUGUGACGGUACCCAAUGAGAAAGCCACGGCUAACUACGUG
rnacentral:rRNA from 1 species